GGUGUUAUAACUCAGUGGUAGAGUGUAGGAUUGCAAAUCCUGAUGUCCCGUGUUCAAUCCACGGUGGCACCU
rfam:Bathycoccus prasinos genomic : Chromosome_2.